AAAGGAAUUGACGGGGGCCCGCACAAGCAGCGGAGCAUGUGGUUUAAUUCGACGCAACGCGAAGAACCUUACCAGGUCUUGACAUCCACUUAAACUUACAGAGAUGUAAGGUGUGCUUGCACAAAGUGAGACAGGUGGUGCAUGGUUGUCGUCAGCUCGUGUCGUGAGAUGUUGGGUUAAGUCCCGCAACGAGCGCAACCCUUAUCUUCAGUUACUAACGCGUGAAGGUGAGGACUCUGAAGAGACUGCCGGGGACAACUCGGAGGAAGGUGGGGACGACGUCAAAUCAUCAUGCCCCUUAUGACCUGGGCUACACACGUGCUACAAUGGCCACGACAGAGAGAAGCGAAAUCGCAAGGUAGAGCGGAACUCAAAAAAGUGGUCCCAGUUCGGAUUGUGGGCUGCAACCCGCCCACAUGAAGUCGGAGUUGCUAGUAAUCGCGGAUCAGCAUGCCGCGGUGAAUACGUUCCCGGGCCUUGUACACACCGCCCGU
rnacentral:rRNA from 1 species